UAAGGUCUAGUUAUUCUAACGAAAUUAACUAGGUAACAACGAAGUAUGUUAAUCAAAAAUAAUUUCAACUAAAGCAAUUCUAAACAAAAUAUACCUCAAAGGUAAUAGAUGGAUUUCAUCAAAAUAAAAUACUCUAAUUUCUAGCACAAGCAAUGGUUAUCUCACAUUGUAACCCCAAAUCCUAUUAUUACUCUACAUGAUGAUGCGCUAGUGCUGAUAUUUAAUCGGGACAAGCCAAUUUACCAAAGUGGACCAUGUCUGAAGUUCUUAAAAUCGAGAUAUGUGAAUCUAAAGCUUUAGGACCACCACUAUUCGCCCUAAAAUUUCACCAAAUGUUCCAAUGCAAAUGACCAAUAAUUGCAGAUUGAGCUUUCAGGGACAAAAUCAUUCAAUUUUUUUCGUACAACCUGAAACACGAAAUUAAAAAUAUCAAUAUGUUCAGAAAAUUAGUAUGAGCAGCCUAUCUGAAAAAAACUUCACCAGAGUCGUCGUUACAUGCCUCGCCAGAGAUGCAUGCAUGCCGCCGUUGCGUCCCACGCAAGGAGGAGCACCUCCACCUGCUAAAGCUGGGUCUAGUCUUGGUUUGUUCGGAAUCCCAGCUUUCAGGUUCGAUCACUUCGAAAAAUGGCAUGAUUUUAGACGAUUUUUAGUUAAUUUCUGACUUGAUAUGCCCACACGAGGCUUUGAUGUCAAAUCUUGUGCGAAAGAGAAGAUCGUUAAGGCGUUUUUGGGCUCAAAUUCUCCAAUAAUCGACACCACUAUGAAAAAACCCAAACUCCCUUCAACCACCCCAUUUACGGUUGCUUUUUGUUCACCCACUUAAAACCCACAAAUGAAGCUAUAAUCACAACGAGGAAGUAACCACAAAGGUAGUAGAGUGAAUGAAAACAGUGGGCAAAGACACAAAGAGAGAGCCACCCACUUUCACACAC
rnacentral:lncRNA from 1 species